CCAAAGUGAUUGUGGCUACUUAAACUUUUACAAUAAAUGUGUAAUACUUGAUGUUGAUGAUGUGUUCUGAAAACACUGUGUUGAAGGAAUUGAGUUAAAAGCCACUGUCUUGGCUGUAGAAUUAUAGCAGGCAUUUUUAUUCAGACUCUGUUAAUAACUUCCUGUUGUUUACUUGUUUCUCAUAUACAUGACAUUAUAUUUUUGACAUAUAGAUUCAGAAAAUGCUUACUUACAACCCAAUCACAUAGAGUUAUUUUAUAUAUUAGGAAAAUUUCAUAAUAAAAAGGAAAAAAUGGAGGAAGAGAGAGAAAGAAGGAGGAAUGGAGGAAAAAGCAAAAGAAGAAAAGAAGGAAGGGGAGGGGAAGGAAAGGGAGAAAGAAGGAGGGAAGGCGAUAGUUUGAAUGGAAAUAGAGAAGAAAGAGAUGGAGGGAGGGCUAGAAGGAAGGAGAAAGGGAAGGAAGAGGCCAGGCACAGUGGCUCAUGCCUGUAAUCCCAGUCUUUGGGAGGCUGAGGCAGGCAGAUCACGAGGUCAGGAGAUAGAGACCAUCCUGGCUAACAUGGUGAAACCCUGUCUCUACUAAAAAUACAAAAAAUUAGCCGGGCAUGGUGGCAGGUGCCUGUAGUCCCAGCUACUUGGAAAGCUGAGGCAGGAGAAUGGCAUGAACCUGGGAGGCAGAGCUUGCAGUGAGCCGAGAUCGAGCCACUGCACUCCAGCCUGGGCGACAGAACGAGACUUUGUCUCAAAAAAAAAAAAAAAAAAAAAGAAAAGAAAAGAAAAAAGAAAAAAAAAGGAUGGAACAAAGGAGAAAAGAAACUAAAAUAAAGAAAAGAAUAGGUGUUGAGAAACUAGAAACCUAUGUGUGGCUAAUAUUAUCAAAAUAGGAGAAAAUAAAACAGAUGUAGUUAACCUCUAGAGAAUAAUGGAAAUGUAAGAGGGCUUCAUUAGUUAUCCAUUGCUGUGUAACAAACUACUCCCAAAUUUAGUGACUUGGGAUCACUAAAUGAGGGAUCGUGUUCCCGUCAUUCCCUCAGAGAUUUUAUCCCUUAAUUGCGUCUUCCCGUCAUUGCCUCAGAGAUUUUAUCCCUUAAUUGUGUCAGAGAGCAGUGUGGAACCUCAGAGUCACUCUCUGGUACAGGAUCUGGAAACUGAGGAGGAUUCUUCUCCCUCAGGACCAGAGGGAGGGUGAUAUUCUAGUGUUGGUCCCAUCUGUCUCCCAUCCUUGUGGGAGGCCAGCCCGGGAGAUUACAGGCGAUCAGGGAGGCGCCCGUGGUCCCUGGUACAGGUGUGCUGCAGUGUCUCCUUCCUGUUCUCCAGGUAUCUGCGGAGCCACUCCACGCACCUGCCCUCCAGGUAG
rnacentral:lncRNA from 1 species